AGCUCGUGUCGUGAGAUGUUGGGUUAAGUCCGUAACGAGCGCAACCCUUGUCCUUAGUUACCAGCACGUUAUGGUGGGCACUCUAAGGAGACUGCCGGUGACAACCGGAGGAAGGUGGGGAUGACGUCAAGUCAUCAUGGCCCUUACGGCCUGGGCUACACACGUGCUACAAUGGUCGGUACAAAGGGUUGCCAAGCCGCGAGGUGGAGCUAAUCCCAUAAAACCGAUCGUAGUCCGGAUCGCAGUCUGCAACUCGACUGCGUGAAGUCGGAAUCGCUAGUAAUCGUGAAUCAGAAUGUCACGGUGAAUACGUUCCCGGGCCUU
rnacentral:rRNA from 1 species